rnacentral:rRNA from 1 species
GAUGAACGCUGGCGGCGUGCCUAAUACAUGCAAGUCGAGCGAACAGACGUGGAUCUUGCUCCUCUGACGUUAGCGGCGGACGGGUGAGUAACACGUGGAUAACCUACCUAUAAGACUGGGAUAACUUCGGGAAACCGGAGCUAAUACCGGAUAAUAUAUUGAACCGCAUGGUUCAAUAGUGAAAGACGGUUUUGCUGUCACUUAUAGAUGGAUCCGCGCCGCAUUAGCUAGUUGGUAAGGUAACGGCUUACCAAGGCGACGAUGCGUAGCCGACCUGAGAGGGUGAUCGGCAACGCUGGAACUGAGACACGGUCCAGACUCCUACGGGAGGCAGCAGUAGGGAAUCUACCGUAAUGGGCGAAAGCCUGACGGAGCAACGCCGCGUGAGUGAUGAAGGGCUUCGGAUCGGAAAACUCUGUUAUUAGGGAAGAAAAAAUGUGUAAGUAACGAUGCAGGUCUGGACGGUACCUAAGCAGAAAGCCACGGUAAACUACGU